rnacentral:sRNA from 1 species
GGCUCUCGAACAACACACAUCUUUUGUAUUCAACUGGAAAAAUAUUUUUCAAAAACCUACUUCCGUAAACAGGCUAAUUGAAAUAAGUAAAAUGUGUAAUCCUUGCUUGAGAUCAAUGCCUGGUACCUGUUGUGGUCCAACAGGUGGUCUAGGCCCCUGCGGCUUUUGCGGACCCUACAAUGGACAAUGGUUCCGAGCAGUAAACCAUUGCUGUGGUCCGAUAGGUCCAUAUGGAUGUUGUUCGUGCUAUGGAGCAUAUGGUGGACACCGUUAGCCUGCUUAGAAGGAAAGUAGGUUUCGAUAAACUUAUAAAGAAAAACUGGCUUUGACAAAAAGACGAUGUAUUCGGAAAGAGAUUGCUGUGAUUUAGCUAACUAACUUCUAAACGUAAUAAGCAAGGUCGUGUCGUCGUAAAUAAUAAAUUAAUGUCGUUAUCGA